rnacentral:tRNA from 2 species
UGCGCCGGUAGAAUAUGUUUUUUUAGUUCAUGGCUCUGAAGAAGCUAUAGAGGUUGUUGAGCCCCAGUGCAG